rnacentral:tRNA from 2 species
CCGCCACUAGCUCAGCUGGACAGAGCCGAUAACCUGAGGUUGUAGGUGCGGGGUUCGAGGCCCCGGUGGCGGACCA